UCCGCCUUAUCUCUCUCUAAACUCUCUCUGGAAAAAUGGUGAUUCUCUGAUUAUUGAGAGACGAAGAAAGAUUUCGAGUGGUUUUCAUUGCAAACAUACCCUAAUAGAUUAUGUAGUUCGUGUGUGUGAUUUUGAUCCAUAUAUAGUGAUAUUUUCUAAAGAUUUUCAAGCAGAAAGGUGACUGGUUGUUCCAUCUGGUGGGUUUCUUAAAAGAUAUCGUCACAAUGUACGCGAACAUCAUGAGGAAAUAUGUGAAGAACCCAGUAAGAAGUUUUAGGGUUGAAGGAAGUGAAACAAAUAAUGUUAGAUUCUUUGAUGGAGAUGGAGUUGUGCUAUACAAUGGUUUAUGAAUCUGGUGAUGAAGUUGCAAUACAGGAGCUGAAGGUGAAGCGACAUGAAUGGGUUCUGGAUAGGGUUUAUGGAAUUGAUUUGAUGUUGUUGUUGGUGAUUGCUGUUUGAAUGGUUGUUUGAAUGGAUUGAAGCAGUGGUGAUCUGGUGAAUGGAUAUGUGCCAGUGGUGAUGUUGCAAUAAAGAGAAAAUGCAGAUGGUUUUAUUGGGUUGCAGCUGCAGUUCAAGUUGAUGGUGGUUGCAAAAAUGAUAUGAUGAUGUGUUUGUUGUUGCAGUGCAGGUUAUAGGGACUAGAUGAAUGUACUAGGUUUACAAUGAAAUAGUGGAUGUUCAUUGAUGUCUUUGAGCUGAGAAGAUACAGGCAGGAGGUUGCUGGUGAGAAUGGCCAGAGCACACAUCUGGUGUGACCACAUUGAGGAGUAAACAGAAGUUCGGGAGUUCGUUGUUGGCAUGGUAAAGAAUCAAACCUUGGCGAAGGGGAACGAUGAUGGUAGCAAUGCUGAUGAUGCCAGGAGGUUGGUCGAGAAUAUGGAGACAAGCAUAACAAAAGGGACUCAGAUUUAUGGCAAGCUCGAGGAAGGAAACGAGUAUAGAAAUGUCAGCCACCAUCUAAAACCACCAGCCACCAUCAUUGUUUUUCCCAAACCAAAUUACAUCUCCACUAGCAUACCACCAAAUCCAUACCACCGUUCCAGUGCAUAACCCAUCAAUUCGCAUCAGUUUCAACACUUCAUAAACGUUCACAGCAUCACCAAUUCAAAUGCACAUCAUCCAUAUAAGAGCAACUGGCCGGUUCGCAACCUCAACAAUAGCAAGGGCACACCACUAGCGGCUCAAUUUUGACUACCACAACAAAUCCUCACCAGCUUGCAGCAAACUGCAACACUAGGAACGACUUGUAGCCAAGCCACAUCAGAAGAUGCCACGUGUCAGAGUUGCCCCUUCAGAAGAUGCCACAUGUCAAUGUCGGUACACGUCAGCAGCUACCACAUGUGAUAGUUUAACCAUGGUUAGUAGUAGCUGAGUUAAAAAGAGGGUAUUUUGGUGAUAACCAACACCGUUUUUUUUCCAAAUAGUUAUUUCGGAUGGAACAUGACUAUUUUGUAAACCAAUUUCAAAAGUGUGAUCAUUUUGUAACCGAAUUACAAAAAGUAGGACUAUUUUAUAAUUGGCCCAAAGAUUUACAUCCGUUGCAUGAUAUAGGAAGAUAAUAGAAGAAGUACAUAA